UACAGAGGGUGCGAGCGUUGUUCGGAAUUAUUGGGCGUAAAGGGCGCGUAGGCGGUGCGGUAAGUCACCUGUGAAAUCUCCUGGCUCAACUGGGAGCUUGCAGGCGAAACUGCCGUGCUGGAGUGUGGGAGAGGUGCGUGGAAUUCCUGGUGUAGCGGUGAAAUGCGUAGAUAUCAGGAGGAACACCGGUGGUGUAGACGGCUUUCUGGACCGUAACUGACGCUGAGACACGAAAGCGUGGGUAGCAAACAGG
rnacentral:rRNA from 1 species